UGAGCGGGGUAAAGCCAG
rnacentral:siRNA from 1 species